UUGGGACUGAGAUACGGCCCAGACUCCUACGGGAGGCAGCAGUGGGGAAUAUUGGGCAAUGGGCGAAAGCCUGACCCAGCAACGCCGCGUGAAGGAAGAAGGUCUUCGGAUUGUAAACUUCUUUUAUGAGGGACGAAGGACGUGACGGUACCUCAUGAAUAAGCCACGGCUAACUACGUGCCAGCAGCCGCGGUAAUACGUAGGUGGCAAGCGUUAUCCGGAUUUACUGGGUGUAAAGGGCGCGUAGGCGGGGAUGCAAGUCAGAUGUGAAAUCUAUGGGCUUAACCCAUAAACUGCAUUUGAAACUGUAUCUCUUGAGUGCUGGAGAGGUAGAUGGAAUUCCUUGUGUAGCGGUGAAAUGCGUAGAUAUAAGGAAGAACACCAGUGGCGAAGGCGAUCUACUGGACAGUAACUGACGCUGAGGCGCGAAAGCGUGGGGAGCAAACAGGAUUAGAUACCCUGGUAGUCCACGCUGUAAACGAUGAAUACUAGGUGUGGGGGGACUGACCCCCUCCGUGCCGCAGUUAACACAAUAAGUAUUCCACCUGGGGAGUACGGCCGCAAGGUUGAAACUCAAAGGAAUUGACGGGGGCCCGCACAAGCAGUGGAUUAUGUGGUUUAAUUCGAAGCAACGCGAAGAACCUUACCAGGGCUUGACAUCCAACUAACGAAGUAGAGAUACAUUAGGUGCCCUUCGGGGAAAGUUGAGACAGGUGGUGCAUGGUUGUCGUCAGCUCGUGUCGUGAGAUGUUGGGUUAAGUCCCGCAACGAGCGCAACCCUUGCUAUUAGUUGCUACGCAAGAGCACUCUAAUAGGACUGCCGUUGACAAAACGGAGGAAGGUGGGGACGACGUCAAAUCAUCAUGCCCCUUAUGACCUGGGCUACACACGUACUACAAUGGAUGUUAACAGAGGGAAGCAAGACAGUGAUGUGGAGCAAACCCCUAAAAACAUUCUCAGUUCAGAUUGCAGGCUGCAACUCGCCUGCAUGAAGUUGGAAUUGCUAGUAAUCGCGGAUCAGAAUGCCGCGGUGAAUACGUUCCCGGGCCUUGUACACACCGCCCGUCACACCAUGAGAGUCGAUAACACCCGAAGCCUGUGAGCUAACCUUAUAGGAGGCAGCAGUCGAAGGUGGGGUUGAUGAUUGGGGUGAAGUCGUAACAAGGUAGCCGUAUCGGAAGGUGCGGCUG
rnacentral:rRNA from 1 species